GACGAACGCUGGCGGCGUGCUUAACACAUGCAAGUCGAACGGAAAGGCCCUGCUUUUGUGGGGUGCUCGAGUGGCGAACGGGUGAGUAACACGUGAGUAACCUGCCCUUGACUUUGGGAUAACUUCAGGAAACUGGGGCUAAUACCGGAUAGGAGCUCCUGCUGCAUGGUGGGGGUUGGAAAGUUUCGGCGGUCGGGGAUGGACUCGCGGCUUAUCAGCUUGUUGGUGGGGUAGUGGCUUACCAAGGCUUUGACGGGUAGCCGGCCUGAGAGGGUGACCGGCCACAUUGGGACUGAGAUACGGCCCAGACUCCUACGGGAGGCAGCAGUGGGGAAUAUUGCACAAUGGGCGGAAGCCUGAUGCGGCAACGCCGCGUGCGGGAUGACGGCCUUCGGGUUGUAAACCGCUUUCGCCUGUGACGAAGCGUGAGUGACGGUAAUGGGUAAAGAAGCACCGGCUAACUACGUG
rnacentral:rRNA from 1 species